GUGCUGGAGAAUCUGGUAAAAGCACCAUUGUGAAGCAGAUGAGGAUCCUGCAUGUUAAUGGGUUUAAUGGAGAGGGCGGCGAAGAGGACCCGCAGGCUGCAAGGAGCAACAGCGAUGGUGAGAAGGCAACCAAAGUGCAGGACAUCAAAAACAACCUGAAAGAGGCGAUUGAAACCAUUGUGGCCGCCAUGAGCAACCUGGUGCCCCCCGUGGAGCUGGCCAACCCCGAGAACCAGUUCAGAGUGGACUACAUUCUGAGUGUGAUGAACGUGCCUGACUUUGACUUCCCUCCCGAAUUCUAUGAGCAUGCCAAGGCUCUGUGGGAGGAUGAAGGAGUGCGUGCCUGCUAUGAACGCUCCAACGAGUACCAGCUGAUUGACUGUGCCCAGUACUUCCUGGACAAGAUCGACGUGAUCAAGCAGGCUGACUACGUGCCGAGCGAUCAGGACCUGCUUCGCUGCCGUGUCCUGACUUCUGGAAUCUUUGAGACCAAGUUCCAGGUGGACAAAGUCAACUUCCA
rnacentral:sRNA from 1 species